rnacentral:lncRNA from 1 species
AUCUGUACAAUAAGAACUUCAAGACACUGAGGAAAGAAAUUGAAGAAGACCUCAGAAGAUGGAAAGAUCUCCCAUGCUCAUGGAUUGGCAGGAUUUAUAUAGUAAAAUGGCCAUUUUACCAAAAGCAAUCUACAGAUUCAAUGCAAUCCCCAUCAAAAUACCAAUCCAAUUCUUCAAAGAGUUAGACAGAACAAUUUGCAAAUUCAUCUGGAAUAACAAAAAACCCAGGAUAGCUAAAGCUAUCCUCAACAAUAAAA